GUGGAUUUAAAUUAAAAUUUAAAAAUAAUCUGUGAGUGUUGGGGGAGGUGUGUGUGGGUCUGGCUGGCUGGCAGUGUGUGUGUAUGUUUGUCAGUGUGUCUGUGAGUGAGUGUAUGUCUGUCAGUGUGUGUCUGUGAGGGAGCCUGUGUGUCUGAGUGAUUGUGUGUGUCUGUCUGUCUGUGAUCGUGUGUGUCUUGUCAGUAUGCAUCUGUGAGUGAGUGUGUCUGUCAGUGACUGUGUGUGUGUCUGAUUGCGUAUGCCUGUCGGUGUGUGUCUGUGAGUGAGUCAGUGAUUGAGUGUGUCUGUCAGAUUGUGUCAAAUCUGUGUGUGUGUAUGUCAGUGUAUCUGAGAGUGUGUGUCUGUCAGUCAAAGUGUGUGUGUUAUUCUUUAACAGGAAGAGGUCUGGCAUUGACUAGAAAGGGGUGGGGCAAAUGUAAAUUAGGGGGUGCCCGAGUUCCGUCAUGCCUAGGGCAGCACAGAUCCAAAAUACACCACUGAGUACACCCCUAAGUGGAAAUGUCCAAAUUGUGCCCAAAGUGUCAAUAUUUGGUGUGGCCACCAUUAUUUUCCAGCACUGCCUUAACCCUCAUGGGCAUGAAGUUCACCAGAGCUUCACAGGUUUGUUCUCCUCCAUGACGAAAUCACAGAGCUGGUGGAUGUUAGAGACCUUGUGCUCCCCCAC